rnacentral:rRNA from 1 species
GACGAACGCUGGCGGCGGGCUUAACACAUGCAAGUCGAACGAGGUCCAUUCUGUAGCAAUACAGAGGAAGACCUAGUGGCGAACGGGUGAGGAACACGUGAGGAACCUGCCCCGAACUUUGGGAUAACAGUUGGAAACGACUGCUAAUACCGAAUGCCGUUACGAAGUGGCAUCACUUUGUAACGAAAGAAUUUCGGUUCGGGAGGGCCUCGCGGCCUAUCAGCUAGUUGGUGGGGUAACGGCCUACCAAGGCAUCGACGGGUAGCUGGUCUGAGAGGAUGAUCAGCCACACUGGGACUGAGACACGGCCCAGACUCCUACGGGAGGCAGCAGUGGGGAAUCUUGUGCAAUGGGCGAAAGCCUGACACAGCCACGCCGCGUGCGGGAAGAAGGCCUUCGGGUUGUAAACCGCUUUCAGCAGGAACGAAAAUGACGGUACCUGCAGAAGAAGGUGCGGCCAACUACGUGCCAGCAGCCGCGGUGAUACGUAGGCAUCAAGCGUUGUCCGGAUUUAUUGGGCGUAAAGAGCUCGUAGGCGGUUCAGCAAGUCGGGUGUGAAACCUCUGGGCUUAACCCAGAGCCUGCACUCGAAACUGCUGUGACUAGAGUUCGGGUAGGGGAGCAGGGAAUUCCUAGUGUAGCGGUGAAAUGCGCAGAUAUUAGGAGGAACACCAAUGGCGAAGGCACUGCUCUGGGCCGAUACUGACGCUGAGGAGCGAGAGCGUGGGUAGCAAACAGGAUUAGAUACCCUGGUUGUCCACGCCGUAAACGAUGGGCACUAGGUGUGGGUCUCUAACCAACGAGAUCUGCGCCGUCGCUAACGCAUUAAGUGCCCCGCCUGGGGAGUACGGUCGCAAGACUAAAACUCAAAGGAAUUGACGGGGGCCCGCACAAGCAGCGGAGCGUGUUGCUUAAUUCGAUGCUACGCGAAGGACCUUACCAAGGCUUGACAUAUAGGGAAAAGUGGCAGAGAUGUCAUGUCCGCAAGGGCUCUAUACAGGUGGUGCAUGGUUGUCGUCAGCUCGUGUCGUGAGAUGUUGGGUUAAGUCCCGCAACGAGCGCAACCCUCGUUCUGUGUUGCCAGCAUUUAGUUGGGGACUCACAGGAGACUGCCGGGGUUAACUCGGAGGAAGGUGGGGAUGACGUCAAAUCAUCAUGCCCCUUAUGUCUUGGGCUGCACGCAUGCUACAAUGGCCGGUACAGAGGGCUGCAAUACCGUAAGGUGGAGCGAAUCCCAAAAAGCCGGUCUCAGUUCGGAUUGAGGUCUGCAACUCGACCUCAUGAAGUUGGAGUUGCUAGUAAUCGUAGAUCAGCAACGCUACGGUGAAUACGUUCCCGGGGCUUGUACACACCGCCCGUCACGUCACGAAAGUCGGUAACACCCAAAGUCAGUGGCCCAACCGCAAGGGGGGAGCUGCCUAAGGUGGGAUCGGUGAUUGGGACGAAGUCGUAACAAGGUAGGCGUACCGGAAGGUGCGGCUGGAUCACCUCCUUU